AUAUUUUCUAAUUUUAACACGGUUAAUUCUUUUAUCGAUAAUAUUGGCAUGGAAAAUUACUUGUGGAUAAAUAAUUUUAUUACUGUUCUUAAUGAUUUUUUUAUCUUUCUCAGCUAACAAUUACUCUAUACUUUUAUCUUAUUUUAGGUUGACAUGAAUCCAUCAAAAUUUCAGAAGUCUAAAAUGGAAGCAACUUCAAAUAAUGUACAUCAUGCAUAUAUUCAACCUGGUGCUUUAGAAAGGGGAAGAGGACACAACUUUGGAUCUUUGGGAUCUGUAAAAAUAAGUAUUGAAAAGAGAACUCUGAUUGGCGAAAGUAAAAAUCAUAACUCAACAAUUUUUGAGCAGAAUAAGCUUGCACAUACUAAUAAUCUUGUGCCCCCUGGUUUCGCUUCGGUGGAAGACGAUGCUCCCCUCGCUCAAAACGUUGAAGCGAAGCAAGAAACAGGAGCAGCUUUGAAGAAUGUAAAUCUUGCAUACAUUCAACCUGCGUCUUUAGCAAGGGGACGAGGGCAAAGCUUUAGAUCUUUGGGCUCUGCAAAAGUAAAUGUUGGCAAUAAAAAUCUGUAUGGAGAGAUUAAAUAUUACAACUUAGGGGCUUCUAAGCAGAAUAAGCUAGCAUAUAAUAGUAAUAAUCUUAUGCCUUCUGGUUUUGAUAUGAUGGAAGAAGAUAUUCCCUUCACUCAAGAAGCUGAAAUGAUGCAAGGUCUCAAGUUUUAAUUAUUCUUUUUUUUGUUAUAAGAUUGGAAGUUAUUUUAUGCUUUACUCAAAUCAAAAUCUUCAAAAGUUGGAGCUACUUCAAAGAAUGUACGAGACACUUACAGUCAACCUGGUGCUUUAGCAAGGGGACGCGGGCAAAACGUUAGACCUGUGGCCUCGACAAAAGGAAGUGUUGGAAAGAGAAAUCUUGUUGGGGAAAGUAAAAAUCACAACUCAACAUCUUUUGAGCAGAAUAAGCUAGCACAUAAUAGUAAUAAUCUUAUGCCUCCUAGUUUUUGAUCGUAAUAUGUGUCCGUUGCAAGUACAUUCAUGGAAGGACAUCGGAGAAGAUAAGCUGGAACACAUGUGGCGAGCUGUUACGGACAAAUUUGACAGUGAUGACAUGAAUCAUCAAAGAGAUCAUGUGUUAAAUCAUAUGAGAAAGUUAUGGACCAAUUGGAGAGGAUCAUUGCACAAGUAUGUGAAGUAUAAGCCAUUGCAUGAAGCACUAAAAGAUGUCCCGGAUGAGGUAGACAAGAGUAAUUAGGAAUGGUUGGUCAAGGAACAUUUUUUAAGUGAAAACUUUGAGGAAACAAGUAUUAGAAACUCGAUCAAUAGAUCUAAGUUGAGAAUGCCUCAUCGUACGGAUAGAAGCCGAUUAGAGAAAUUAUUUACGAACUGGGAGGCAAAGACGGUAAUCCACCGAACAUGGCGACUAUCUUCUUUGAGACUCACAAGAAAAAUGACACGCUUGUAGAACCUGAAGCUAGUAAAAAAUAUGCUGAGAUACAAGAACUGGUACAAUCUGAGCCAUCUCUUAUGAAUAUCGAGGUAGUAGAAAGAUGCUUCGGACCUCAAAACAAGAGUCAUGUGGUUGGAUUAGGGGGUAGUAUAACCACUAAGGAGUUGAAAGGCAGUAGCUCCUCAAAGGCUGCAAUACUGGCUGAGCUGAAUGCAUCGAAAAGAAAAAGAAUCACUACAGACCGAGCUGAAUGCAACAAAAAAAGUAAAAGAAUCACUAGAAAUACGUAUGGACGACAUAGAUUCUUAGUAUGCACAUAUUAUAAGCUUACUGGUUGAUCAACCUUCAUCAGCACCAUCUUCAAGUCAACAAAGUACAAGCUGAAAUUAAUAUUUAACAGAUAAAGGGCCUGAAGUUUGAAGAAUUUUCCAUAAAGAUAGUUCCGAGCAAGUUGAAGCAGCUAGAAUUGUUGAAGAACAAGGGAAAUCUAUUUUGUUUUAUUAGGAGUUGUAGUCGUCAUCUGUACAAACUACUAUUUUACUUUCUCUUUAAUUUUUUGUUUUCUUUAAGGAAUUGAAAACAAGGAUCAUGCAAUUUGGAUGUAAUAUUAUUGCCACUUUG